AGAGCGAACGCUGGCGGCAGGCCUAACACAUGCAAGUCGAGCGCCCGUAGCAAUACGGGAGCGGCAGACGGGAUAGUAACACGUGGGAACGCGCCCUUCGGUUCGGAAUAACUCAGGGAAACUUGAGCUAAUACCGGAUACGCCCUUACGGGGAAAGAUUUAUUGCCGAAGGAACGGCCCGCGUCCGAUUAGCUAGUUGGUGAGGUAAUGGCUCACCAAGGCGACGAUCGGUAGCUGGUCUGAGAGGAUGACCAGCAUCACUGGGACUGAGACACGGCCCAGACUCCUACGGGAGGCAGCAGUGGGGAAUAUUGGACAAUGGGCGCAAGCCUGAUCCAGCCAUGCCGCGUGGAUGAUGAAGGCCUUAGGGUUGUAAAGUCCUUUUAACGGGGAAGUAUAAGUGACGGUACCCGUAGAACUAAGCCCCGGCUAACUCGUGCCAGCAGCCGC
rnacentral:rRNA from 1 species